rnacentral:rRNA from 1 species
UACAGAGGGUGCGAGCGUUGUUCGGAAUUAUUGGGCGUAAAGGGCGCGUAGGCGGCGCCACAAGUCACUUGUGAAAUCUCCGGGCUUAACUCGGAGCGGCCAAGUGAUACUGCUGUGCUAGAGUGCAGAAAGGGCAAUCGGAAUUCUCGGUGUAGCGGUGAAAUGCGUAGAUAUCGAGAGGAACACCUGAGGCGAAGGCGGGUUGCUAGGCUGACACUGACGCUGAAGCGCGAAAGCUAGGGUAGCAAACGGG